rnacentral:lncRNA from 1 species
AACCAUCUUGGCAAGGAUCUGAAAAACCAAGGGAUCUCGAUGUUCUGAAAUCAAAAUUAAUGAAAAUGACAAGGAAUCCAAGGAAAAAGGUCCUAAAGGUAGAAUAAAGUGAAAAGGCCAAAGCCCCACACAGGCGAGCCGCCAUGAGAAAUUUUGAAAAGCUGAGUUAUAGGAGAGAGAUCAAUCUUUAAGAAAAGCCAGCAAGCAGCAAAGGUUUUCAUCAAAAGUUGGGCCAAGACCCGGUGAUCAAACAACCAAAGCCGCAACACCAACCACUGUUUCAAACUAACAAUUGUUCUUUGUUUGAAAAUUUGAAACAUGUGUAAUCCAAAGCAACGUGCAAGAAGAAGGUGCAACUAAAAGGGAAAUUCACAGGAGCUAGGAACAGCUUCACAGCAAUAACCAGCCCAAAAGGGAAGUUUCUUCCAAAUUCUUUCCUGCAUUUUGUAAAGAAAAGAAAGAAGAAAAGAAGAAAAGAAAAAUCCUAGAAAAUCAUGGUAGCAUAGGGCCUCCAAUCUCUAGCUGCAUCAUUUCAAACCUAGGAUCAUUCUCCUGUUCUGCUCAUCAUAACCUGAGGAUCUUUUUCUUUUGUCCCAGGCAUAACCCAAGGAUCUUCCUCCUUUUCUCCCCAGCAUAACCUGAGGAUCUUUUUCUUUUGUCCACAUCAUAACCCGAGGAUCAUUUUCCUUUUUCUCCCCAGCAUAACCUAAGGAUCAUUUUCCUUUUCUCCCCGGCAUAACCCGAGGAUCGUUCCCCUUUUUUCUCCCUGGCAUAACCCAGGACCCUUUUCUUUUAUCACGGCAUAACCCGUGGAUCAUCCCUGGCAUAACCCAAGGACCUUCUUCUUUUAUACCGGCAUAAUCCGUGGAUCUCCCUGGCAUAACCCAAGGACCUUUUCUUUUGUCCCGGCAUAACCUGUGGAUCUCCCUGGCAUAACCCAAGGACCUUUUUC